AGGACGAACGCUGGCGGCGUGCUUAACACAUGCAAGUCGAGCGGAAAGGCCCUUCGGGGUACUCGAGCGGCGAACGGGUGAGUAACACGUGAGCAACCUGCCCUUAGCUCUGGGAUAGCUCCGGGAAAACCGGAAUUAAUACCGGAUACGACCACAGCCGACAUCUGCUGUGGUGGAAAGGAUUCCGGCUAAGGAUGGGCUCGCGGCCUAUCAGCUAGUUGGUGGAGUAACGGCCCACCAAGGCGACGAC
rnacentral:rRNA from 1 species